CCUACGGGAGGCAGCAGUGGGGAAUAUUGCACAAUGGGGGAAACCCUGAUGCAGCGACGUCGCGUGAGUGAUGAAGUAUUUAGUUAUGUAAAGCUCUAUCAGCAGGGAAGAAAAUGACGGUACCUGAGUAAGAAGCUCCGGCUAACUACGUGCCAGCAGCCGCGGUAAUACGCAGGGGGCCAGCGUUAUCCGGAUUUACUGGGUGUAAAGGGGGCGUAGACGGCAGUGCAAGUCUGUAGUGAAAGGCGGGGGCUCAACCCCCGGACUGCUCUGGAAACUGUACGGCUGGAGUGCAGGAGAGGUAAGUGGAAUGCCUGGUGUAGCGGUGAAAUGCGUAGAUAUUAGGAGGAACACCAGUGGCGAAGGCGGCUUACUGGAGUGUAACUGACGUUGAGGCUCGAAAGCGUGGGGAGCGAACAGGAUUAGAUACCCGGGUAGUC
rnacentral:rRNA from 1 species